UAAAAAUAAUAUAAUAAUAUAUGUCAAAUACUGAAAAUAGGAUACACGAUAUGGCAUGUAAAAUGUCUCGACUCUCAAACAUGUUCUAGUUAAUAUAUCAAUUUUUUCUCUCUUAAAUAUGGAUCUCUUGUACCGGUACAUUCAUUGUGUAUUUCUUUUGUUUGGAGUAACAAUGUCACUCUUAAGCUCGUUAAUUGAGUCAUCUAAGUGGUGUGAUUGAAGCUCUCUAUAUCAUACAUUUUUCGAAUCUUAUGGUUAUUGAUAGCAACGUUGCACCAUGCCAAAUACGAACGAGUUGAGAUCACAGCUUUUGACAACGAAUGCUACUCGUACACUCGCGGAACUGUUGGUUCCCUUUACAUUGGGGGAAUGUCAAGUAUCGCAUGGAUAUUUCAUUACAAGGAAAACCCACCCCACAUUAAUCACUAAUUCGUACUUAAUAUUGCUAAAAAAACAAUCUACAAAUUGAUUAUUAAACUUCAAAAAUUGAGUCAUACUCCCGGACUCUUAUAUUUAAAAUGUCUCACGUCGUAAUUUUCAAAAAUCCUGGAACUUAACCCAAAAUGUCCCGAAUUUCAGUCUGACAAAUCUGUAUAAUAAAAGUACAUCAAACUUCGACGAAGCGAUUGUGAAGCCCAAGACGAGCCCAAAAAUUAAAACCUUCAAACUAAAGAAUUGGGCAGGGGCCGCGCGAACGCAGGCCCCCUCUACCACAAAUUAUGACGUAGGCUCGACCACUUGGGCCGACCUUAGGCGGGCGCCCCUCCUAAGUGCAAUGGAGGUCGCCAACCUAGGCCAUGGGUCUUCUUGAUCGCCCAUUGACCCCG
rnacentral:lncRNA from 1 species